GCUCCGGUCGCUGAGCCCAAUCACGGGGAGCGAGGAACACAUAAACAGGAAGAGCGAGGAAAGGAGAAGUCAUUUAAUUGUGGGCUAGAGAGAAAACGUCUCCCGGGAGAGCUGCGCUGGACGGCUCCGUGCCUUCGCUGGUGGGAGCAGGGAAGACGGAGCUGACCGAGACCUCCCCGGGGAAGGCCGCUCCUGGGGGAAGCUGUCCAGGCCCCUUUGCCCAAAGGAUAAGGCGCUGUAGCAACUAAGGAAACUAAAUUUUUCUCGGAUGCCCAGCUCCAAGUGCACGCGUAGUGGAUGGUCCCAGGUAGCAGAGAGUCUCAGCUGAGCAUCGCACCAAAGCACUUGGUUCUUAUCCUGUCUCUGCCAGAGUCGCCCCGAUAGGACGCCAGAACUGUUUGUCAGUGGCGCUGCGAUUUCGGGAGGAUGUUUGCACAGAAAUAUAAUGAGGCUUGGCUGGUCCGAGGGAGCAGGAGGGAGUUUGAAUGGCUGGUGACCUCACGGCGAAUCUGGGCUGCACUCAGGCAGAAACUACUGAGCUGGAAACAAAAACCUGGAGAAACGAAAGCAGACUCUCCAUCUUCUGCUCCGCGUUCGUAAAGAGGUGGAGAACCUAGGAGAGGAAUGGUGGCAACUGGAGUUCUUCUCCUGUAAAGGAGUGCCCCGUGCAUAAGGAGGCACAGUGGCUCGCUGGGGUCCGAGCAAAUUACUGGCUAUUACUGUCUGCCUAUUACUGGCUGUUACUGAGCAAAAGAAGGAGACCUGAUUGCUCUGCACCAUCCGACAAUUUUUUUUGCGCUGGUCAGACUUAUCACAACAGAACAGUGAAUGAGGACCGGUCUUGUUAAUAAUAUUUGGUGUAUAAUUUCCCUACUAUGAGGAUUGAAAAAACUAAAAAUCUUUCUGUCGUGGUGUAAUAUUUGAGCUGUUUUUUCCUUCUUUCCUUUCAGAAAUAAAAUGAGUGAAAGUAAGUAUUA